rfam:Fusobacterium varium ATCC 27725 genomic scaffold supercont2.1, whole genome shotgun sequence.
UCUGAGGAAUCUCAUGGCGUAAUAUUAUCGAACCGUGUCAGGUCUGGAAGGAAGCAGCACUAAGGUAUUUAUUACGGGUAUGAGUUAAAACUUCUUUCAG